rnacentral:lncRNA from 1 species
AAAACGGACAUGCGUCUGGUUAACCUCUCUGCCUUUCCUCUCUUCUAUUUCUCUCUCUCUAUAAUUCACUCAGUAACCAUAAUGAGGCCAAGCCAGAUUCACUCGAAAUCAGAAUCGACAGCAGUCAUGUGCGGCAGCACUUAUGCUCGGACUAGCAGAAAAAAAAAAGAGGCUGCAGUUUUGCAGAAAGGCGAAGCAGUGUUAGUGAUAGCCAAGUAUGCGACAAUUACACGAAGGAAGAUUACACCAGCAAGGGGACUCAGGCUGUGAAAUUGAACUGUCUCCUACUAUGAGGUCUUGUAUAUACUUAGCGCCGUUACUUCAGUGCUCAAGUCUUCGAGGUCAAACGAAGUUUCUUGAAGUGCAAGAAAUAUAUAUAUAUAUAUAUAUAUAUGUAUCGUAAGGAACCGCUUUAUUCCAGCCAAGCUCGGACUACUACCUCGAGGAUUAAACUGUGCUGCUAGUGAUGAUAUAUGCAGAUGAAAAAGAUGUGCAGAUGAUGAAGUUGAAAGUCAGGCAUGUGUUGUGCCCAUGCUAAUUCUCUCUCGCUGUGGAAGCGGCCGCCUGGCUGCGCGAAGCCAUCAUCUGGUGCUGUGUACAGCAAGCACAUGCUUCGGGCAAGGAGGGAGCCAGCACCAUAUCUACAUCAGCAAGAACCUCGGUGCUCAAAAUAAAUAUUUUCUGUGCAAA